ACCCGGAUGUGACUGGUCGGUUGCUGU
rnacentral:piRNA from 1 species